UACAGAGGGUGCGAGCGUUAAUCGGAAUUACUGGGCGUAAAGCGCGCGUAGGCGGCUUCGCAAGUCGAGUGUGAAAUCCCCGGGCUCAACCUGGGAACUGCAUUCGAGACUGCGUUGCUAGAGUAUGGGAGAGGGAGGUGGAAUUUCAGGUGUAGCGGUGAAAUGCGUAGAUAUCUGAAGGAACAUCAGUGGCGAAAGCGACCUCCUGGACCAAUACUGACGCUCAUGUGCGAAAGCGUGGGGAGCAAACAGG
rnacentral:rRNA from 2 species